ACACAUGCAGUCGAGCGGUAGCACAGAGAGCUUGCUCUCGGGUGACGAGCGGCGGACGGGUGAGUAAUGUCUGGGAAACUGCCUGAUGGAGGGGGAUAACUACUGGAAACGGUAGCUAAUACCGCAUAAUGUCGCAAGACCAAAGUGGGGGACCUUCGGGCCUCAUGCCAUCAGAUGUGCCCAGAUGGGAUUAGCUAGUAGGUGGGGUAACGGCUCACCUAGGCGACGAUCCCUAGCUGGUCUGAGAGGAUGACCAGCCACACUGGAACUGAGACACGGUCCAGACUCCUACGGGAGGCAGCAGUGGGGAAUAUUGCACAAUGGGCGCAAGCCUGAUGCAGCCAUGCCGCGUGUGUGAAGAAGGCCUUCGGGUUGUAAAGCACUUUCAGCGGGGAGGAAGGCGAUAAGGUUAAUAACCUUGUCGAUUGACGUUACCCGCAGAAGAAGCACCGGCUAACUCCGUGCCAGCAGCCGCGGUAAUACGGAGGGUGCAAGCGUUAAUCGGAAUUACUGGGCGUAAAGCGCACGCAGGCGGUCUGUCAAGUCGGAUGUGAAAUCCCCGGGCUCAACCUGGGAACUGCAUUCGAAACUGGCAGGCUAGAGUCUUGUAGAGGGGGGUAGAAUUCCAGGUGUAGCGGUGAAAUGCGUAGAGAUCUGGAGGAAUACCGGUGGCGAAGGCGGCCCCCUGGACAAAGACUGACGCUCAGGUGCGAAAGCGUGGGGAGCAAACAGGAUUAGAUACCCUGGUAGUCCACGCCGUAAACGAUGUCGAUUUGGAGGUUGUGCCCUUGAGGCGUGGCUUCCGGAGCUAACGCGUUAAAUCGACCGCCUGGGGAGUACGGCCGCAAGGUUAAAACUCAAAUGAAUUGACGGGGGCCCGCACAAGCGGUGGAGCAUGUGGUUUAAUUCGAUGCAACGCGAAGAACCUUACCUGGUCUUGACAUCCACAGAACUUAGCAGAGAUGCUUUGGUGCCUUCGGGAACUGUGAGACAGGUGCUGCAUGGCUGUCGUCAGCUCGUGUUGUGAAAUGUUGGGUUAAGUCCCGCAACGAGCGCAACCCUUAUCCUUUGUUGCCAGCGGUUCGGCCGGGAACUCAAAGGAGACUGCCAGUGAUAAACUGGAGGAAGGUGGGGAUGACGUCAAGUCAUCAUGGCCCUUACGACCAGGGCUACACACGUGCUACAAUGGCAUAUACAAAGAGAAGCGACCUCGCGAGAGCAAGCGGACCUCAUAAAGUAUGUCGUAGUCCGGAUUGGAGUCUGCAACUCGACUCCAUGAAGUCGGAAUCGCUAGUAAUCGUAGAUCAGAAUGCUACGGUGAAUACGUUCCCGGGCCUUGUACACACCGCCCGUCACACCAUGGGAGUGGGUUGCAAAAGAAGUAGGUAGCUUAACCUUCGGGAGGGCGCUUACCAC
rnacentral:rRNA from 1 species